rnacentral:lncRNA from 1 species
AAAAAAAUAUUGGAGUCUUCACUCCAUCUUCAGCAAGUCUAUUGGAAAGGAGAUCAGCAAGAAUAAACCUAAUAUUUUGACACUUAGAAACACUUCCAUAAAUAACAAACAACUAGUUUUUUAUUUGCUCAUGGAGCAUUAAUCAAUACAGUCAUGAUCUUGGGCUAUGGAAUCUAAUAUAAUUUUAAAAGAUUGAGAUUUUUAUGAAGUAUAUUCUGUGAGUAAUGGAAUCAAACUAAAAAUAUGUCAACUGAAAUAGCUUCAAAUACUUGAAAAUCAAAAAUAUACUUUUAAAGCCACAAGUCUAAGUCCAUGAAAUAAGGUUUUAAACAUUUAAAAGUGAAAAUAUAAUAUACCAAACACACAGGUACCACUAAAUGAUUAUGUUUGGAAAAAGGAGUGGUCGGCCCAACUCAAGCUGCAACUUAAUGCAAUGAGAAAAAGAACAAGAGAAGCUCAGAGCAAGCAGAAGGAAGCAGAUAAUAAAUAUCAGAGACACUGAAAGGACAAAACUUGUAAGAGGUACUCGGGAAAGAUCAAUAAUUGAUGCAACAAUAGAUAGAAUGACAAAGGGACAAGGACAUUUCACAGUGAUAAGAUGACAUCACUACAGAUUAUACAGUUAAAACAGUAGAAUGAAUUAUUGCUGGGGAAAGAAACCUUUGUACUUACAAUUCUACAACUUAACAGGAAUGUCUAGUUGUUUAAGAUUUUCUGAAUUCAAAAUCUAAGACCUACUGAUCUCAACCAAGAUGAAGCAAACAAGUUGAGACUACUUAUCUAGUGCAGAACCAUUAAAGAAAAUGAAAUCUUAGUUGGAAAACUUCUGACAAAAAUCUCUGGAUUUUUUUAUUGAACACCUACCAACACUCAAGGAAAAAUUAACACCAAUUUUAUUCAGCCUUUCUCCAAAGGAGUGCACAAUAUUCAUUUAUGAGUUCUACCCUGAGAUAAAUCAAAAACAUCAACAAAGCUUUAUAACUCAUAUUUCUCAUGAACUUAGAGACUAUUAUCUUCAAAAAUUACCAGUGAAUUAAAUCCAACAACAUAUCUAAUAUAAUCAAAAGAGGUUUAUUUCAAGCACUUAAAGUUCUAUUGAACAUUUGUAAGUCACUUAAAUCUGUCAUAUGAUCUGCCAGUUGAUUUCCCUAAAGGCACUUAGUAAAACCCAACAUCAUUAAUGAUUAAAUGUUAGAAAAUCAGAAAUAAAAUAGAUUUUUUUUCUCAACUACAUAAAGAGUAUUUCCCCUAAACUACCUCUGGCCAAGAGCAAAUUUUCCAUUGAAAAAUGGGUUGCUCCUUCUCAGAUCGGAAACAAGGCCAGGAUGAGUACAGUUACUUUGUUUGAAGUGAUAAUGGAAGUUCUAGCUUAUGUACC